ensembl:lncRNA
CUUGCUUGUAGGAUUGCUAUAUCAAUUCUCCAACCUGAGACUGUGAGGUCUCCUCAGUAAUGCAAGUUCUUGGCAUGCAGCACUGGAGUGUGUGAAACUGCUUUUCUGGAUGGGAAGAUGUAUCCUGGGACUCAUCCAGAUAGCUCUAGCAUACGGGAUGACAUUUCCCAACAUGAUGAGAUGAGAGAGGCUUGUUGGGAUCCUUGAUAGGAGCAGAUGCUUUGUAAGCUCCCAUAGCCAACGGAAAGCAGCUUCAGGUGGUACCUGUGUGCAGGCUGAGGUGUUAGAGCUGACCGUCCCUGGAGAGUAAGCUGUGACCAGGCAUGGAGCAGCUCUUCAGAACUGUCCUAGGGCUCUGCACCCUCCCCGGGCACCCAGCUCUCAGCUGGGAUGGUCUGGGUCAUAUUGCUGGGGCAAUUGAGCUUGAAAAUCAAACGUUUCUGCUCCAGCUCUUCCCUGCUCCUCACCCAGCCCACUCCAGCAAGGCACUCAGGGCAGUGAGCCAAGGCCUUCUUUUCAAUCACGCCGUUACCAAGAAGGACGUGAAGCCUUCCAAGCUCAGGCUGAUUGCAUGUUUGUGCUGAACAGUUGCCACUGUUUACAGAUAAACAGAGCACGGUUCCAUCCGUGUGCUGUGUGCAGAGCGGCAUGGGUUGGGCUGACCUCCUGCUGUACCUCCCAGGCCUUCCGCUCGCCCUGCUUUCCACCACUGGAGGUAUCGCUGUGGCUGUUUUCCCUUCUGAGCCUCUCUGCGAAGGUGAACUUCAGGACCUGCCUAAACCUUGCAGGACUUGCUGGCAGAGUUGCAGCUGUCCCUGAGGUGACUGCUAUUUGUCUAGAUGCCCUCAAGGCAGCACAAUGAAGAAAACUUGUGUGGCAGAGGAAGAGCAUAUUCCCAGCUGAAAGCUUCAUGCUGAGCCUGGCUUGCGGGGCAAGGGCCCCGGGCUGCUUGUAAAUAAUCUAUCUGACUGACUAGAGUCAGUUUCUUCUUGUGGUAUCCCCGUCAUUAUGUGGAAAGUGCACACAGUUCACUAUACCAUCCUUGAUGUCUGUUUUACUAAUUCUUGCUGAGUCAGCAGCUGCAAACACUGAGAAAUGAGAGGUAGCACAGCUUAGUAUAUGCUGUGUAGUUGGGAAACCUUCAUUGCUUGCUAAAUAUGAGCCUCUCAGCUAAUUGCUGAGGCCAGAGAGCUUCUCAUCCCUAACCUCCUUCUGUCCUUUCCUUGGGUGCCAUGUAUGCUCAGCACAGUGCUGUCAGACUGACCACAUGCAGAAUAUCAGGAGGGAGCUUCACUUUAUCUUGGCCUCCUGAAUACCCAUAUGCACCCUGACUCAGUUUGUAAUGUGAGGGGUGGGCGCAGCCCAUACCAGAGGCAGAACAAGGCAUGCUUCACCCCUCUGCCACUGUCAGUGAAGCACUG